rnacentral:rRNA from 1 species
GACGAACGCUGGCGGCGUGCCUAACACAUGCAAGUCGAACGGAAGUUAGAGCUUCGGUUUUAACUUUAGUGGCGAACGGGUGAGUAACGCGUGAAGAACCUGCCUUUCAGUGGGGGACAACAGUUGGAAACGACUGCUAAUACCGCAUGAAACUUCGAGAGGGCAUCCUCUUGAAGUCAAAGCUUUAUGUGCUGAAAGAUGGCUUCGCGUCUGAUUAGCUAGUUGGUGGGGUAACGGCCCACCAAGGCGACGAUCAGUAGCCGGUCUGAGAGGAUGAACGGCCACAUUGGGACUGAGAUACGGCCCAGACUCCUACGGGUAGGCAGCAGUGGGGAAUAUUGGGCAAUGGGGGAAACCCUGACCCAGCAACGCCGCGUGAAGGAAGAAGGCCU